UAGGCUGGAGUCAGUGCUCGGUCGUAUACGACUAGUCGUACACAAAAUGUAUGGAAUUUGACAGAUAUGGUCGGACGACAGUUUUGGUCGUACGACCAUAUCUGUCAAAUUCCAUACAUUUUGUGUACGACUAGUCGUAUACGAGCGAGCACUGACUGCAGCCUUA
rnacentral:pre_miRNA from 1 species